AUUUCCGGUUGAUCCCGCCGGACCUGACUGCUAUCGGAUUGGUACUAAGCCAUGUGAGUCAUUGUAGCAAUACAAGGCAGACGGCUCAGUAACACGUAGUCAAUCUACCCUAUGGACGGGAAUAACCUCGGGAAACUGAGGAUAAAACCCGAUAGAUCAUAGUGCCCGGAAUGGCUUAUGGUCCAAAUGAUUCGUCGCCGUAGGAUGGGACUGCGGCCUAUCAGCUUGUUGGUGAGGUAAUGGCCCACCAAGGCUAUUACAGGUACGGGCUCUGAGAGGAGAAGCCCGGAGAUGGGUACUGAGACACGGACCCAGGCCCUAUGGGGCGCAGCAGGCGAGAAACCUUUGCAAUGUGCGCAAGCACGACAAGGUUAAUCCGAGUGUUUCCUGCUAAAGGAAUCUUUUGUUAGUUCUAAAACCACUAAUGAAUAAGGGGUGGGCAAGUUCUGGUGUCAGCCGCCGCGGUAAAACCAGCACCUCAAGUGGUCAGGAGGAUUAUUGGGCCUAAAGCAUCCGUAGCCUGUUCUAUAAGUUUCCGGUUAAAUCCAUUAGCUCAACUAAUGGGCUGCCGAAAAUACUGUGGAACUAGGGAGUGGGAGAGGUAGACGGUACUCGGUAGGAAGGGGUAAAAUCCUUUGAUCUAUUGAUGACCACCUGUGGCGAAGGCGGUCUACCAGAACACGUUCGACGGUGAGGGAUGAAAGCUGGGGGAGCAAACCGGAUUAGAUACCCGGGUAGUCCCAGCUGUAAACGAUGCAGACUCGGUGAUGCGCUGGCUUGUGGCCAGUGCAGUGCCGCAGGGAAGCCGUUAAGUUUGCCGCCUGGGAAGUACGUACGCAAGUAUGAAACUUAAAGGAAUUGGCGGGGGAGCACCACAAGGGGUGAAGCCUGCGGUUCAAUUGGAUUCAACGCCGGA
rnacentral:rRNA from 1 species